rnacentral:rRNA from 1 species
CGGCGUGCCUAAUACAUGCAAGUAGAACGCUGAAGAGAGGAGCUUGCUCUUCUUGGAUGAGUUGCGAACGGGUGAGUAACGCGUAGGUAACCUGCCUUGUAGCGGGGGAUAACCAUUGGAAACGAUAGCUAAUACCGCAUAACAAUGGAUGACACAUGUCAUUUAUUUGAAAGGGGCAAAUGCUCCACUACAAGAUGGACCUGCGUUGUAUUAGCUAGUAGGUGAGGUAACGGCUCACCUAGGCGACGAUACAUAGCCGACCUGAGAGGGUGAUCGGCCACACUGGGACUGAGACACGGCCCAGACUCCUACGGGAGGCAGCAGUAGGGAAUCUUCGGCAAUGGGGGCAACCCUGACCGAGCAACGCCGCGUGAGUGAAGAAGGUUUUCGGAUCGUAAAGCUCUGUUGUAAGUCAAGAACGAGUGUGAGAGUGGAAAGUUCACACUGUGACGGUAGCUUACCAGAAAGGGACGGCUAACUACGUGCCAGCAGCCGCGGUAAUACGUAGGUCCCGAGCGUUGUCCGGAUUUAUUGGGCGUAAAGCGAGCGCAGGCGGUUUGAUAAGUCUGAAGUUAAAGGCUGUGGCUCAACCAUAGUUCGCUUUGGAAACUGUCAAACUUGAGUGCAGAAGGGGAGAGUGGAAUUCCAUGUGUAGCGGUGAAAUGCGUAGAUAUAUGGAGGAACACCGGUGGCGAAAGCGGCUCUCUGGUCUGUAACUGACGCUGAGGCUCGAAAGCGUGGGGAGCGAACAGGAUUAGAUACCCUGGUAGUCCACGCCGUAAACGAUGAGUGCUAGGUGUUGGAUCCUUUCCGGGAUUCAGUGCCGCAGCUAACGCAUUAAGCACUCCGCCUGGGGAGUACGACCGCAAGGUUGAAACUCAAAGGAAUUGACGGGGGCCCGCACAAGCGGUGGAGCAUGUGGUUUAAUUCGAAGCAACGCGAAGAACCUUACCAGGUCUUGACAUCCCGAUGCUAUUUCUAGAGAUAGAAAGUUACUUCGGUACAUCGGUGACAGGUGGUGCAUGGUUGUCGUCAGCUCGUGUCGUGAGAUGUUGGGUUAAGUCCCGCAACGAGCGCAACCCCUAUUGUUAGUUGCCAUCAUUCAGUUGGGCACUCUAGCGAGACUGCCGGUAAUAAACCGGAGGAAGGUGGGGAUGACGUCAAAUCAUCAUGCCCCUUAUGACCUGGGCUACACACGUGCUACAAUGGUUGGUACAACGAGUUGCGAGUCGGUGACGGCAAGCUAAUCUCUUAAAGCCAAUCUCAGUUCGGAUUGUAGGCUGCAACUCGCCUACAUGAAGUCGGAAUCGCUAGUAAUCGCGGAUCAGCACGCCGCGGUGAAUACGUUCCCGGGCCUUGUACACACCGCCCGUCACACCACGAGAGUUUGUAACCACCCGAAGUCGGUGAGGUAACCUUUUGGAGCCUGCCGCCUAAGGUGGGAUAGAUGAUUGGGGUGAAG